GGAAGGCUGAGGCAGAGAGACACUGCCAGCCGCCGCCAUGACAGCGUGUGAAGAUACCGCAUACCAGAGUGCAUGUGUGGAUGUGGGAUCCCAACUUGCAAGAAUCAUCAUUCUCCUUCUACCACAUGGGUUCUAAAGUUCUGAAGUCUCCUGAAUGGAUUUGGAGGGCUACAGAGAUGCCUCAGCAAUUCCGAGUGUAUACUGCCCUUGCAGAGGAUCCAAGUUCAGUUCCCAGCACCUACAUCAAGCCAUUCACAACCACCUGUUACUCGAACACCAGGAGAUACAAUGCUGUCUGUCCUCUAAGGGAACCUGCAUUCACAUGCAUCCAUGUGUGUACACGAACAUGUGCACAC